UAGGGAAUUUUCGUCAAUGGGGAGACCCUGAACGAGCAAUGCCGCGUGUGUGAAGAAGGUCUUCGGAUCGUAAAGCACUGUUGUAAGUGAAGAAUGCCAUAUAGAGGAAAUGCUAUGUGGGUGACGGUAGCUUACCAGAAAGCCACGGCUAACUACGUGCCAGCAGCCGCGGUAAUACGUAGGUGGCAAGCGUUAUCCGGAAUCAUUGGGCGUAAAGGGUGCGUAGGUGGCACGAUAAGUCUGAAGUAAAAGGCAACAGCUCAACUGUUGUAUGCUUUGGAAACUGUCGAGCUAGAGUGCAGAAGAGGGCGAUGGAAUUCCAUGUGUAGCGGUAAAAUGCGUAGAUAUUAGGAGGAACACCAGUGGCGAAGGCGGCUUACUGGACGGUAACUGACGUUGAGGCUCGAAAGCGUGGGGGAGCAAACAGGAUUAGAUACC
rnacentral:rRNA from 1 species